GCCACGCCCCCCGUAAAAGUCCCGCCCCGGAAACCCAGUCAGGGGAUCCGCGCUGGGGCUCGGUGCCUUCCUCAGUCCGUCCCUCGCUCUCUGCGCGUUUGGCCGGCCCUCCCGCUCUGUCCCGAGGCCCCGCCGCGCGUCUUGCUGCACAGCAGUCUCGGCCCUGUUCUGAGGUCCGGAGCCCAGUUGUGAAAGAGAAAAUUUGGCUGUGUUCCUGCUCUUCAUUAUAAAACAAGUGAAGUAAGCCACAACCAAAGUCUGCCAUGAGGCCAUUGCAAAUCUAUUUGAUGACUUCUGUGCUGGAGGAUUUUCUUCCUAUCUCACCCCAGAGGUAAACUGGAAAUAUGUAUUUGCUCAUGAAGUAUAUAACUUAUAUGAGCUUUCAGAA
rnacentral:lncRNA from 1 species